rnacentral:rRNA from 1 species
GACGAACGCUGGCGGCGUGCUUAACACAUGCAAGUCGAACGGUGAAGGGGCCUGCUUUUGUGGGCCCUGGAUGAGUGGCGAACGGGUGAGUAACACGUGAGUAACCUGCCCCCUUCUUCUGGAUAACCGCAUGAAAGUGUGGCUCAUACGGGAUAUUCUGGGUCUGUCGCAUGAUGGGUCUGGGAAAGAUUGCGCCUUUGGGUGUUUUUGGUGGGGGAUGGGCUCGCGGCCUAUCAGCUUGUUGGUGGUGUGAUGGCCUACCAGGGCGGUGACGGGUAGCCGGCCUGAGAGGGUGGACGGUCACACUGGGACUGAGACACGGCCCAGACUCCUACGGGAGGCAGCAGUGGGGAAUAUUGCACAAUGGGCGCAAGCCUGAUGCAGCGACGCCGCGUGAAGGAUGGAGGCCUUCGGGUUGUAAACCUCUGUCGCCAGUGAAGCAGGCCUGCUCCUUGUGGGUGGGUUGACGGUAGCUGGAUAAGAAGCGCCGGCUAACUACGUG